rnacentral:rRNA from 1 species
UACGUAGGGUGCAAGCGUUAAUCGGAAUUACUGGGCGUAAAGCGUGCGCAGGCGGUUUCUUAAGUCAGAUGUGAAAGCCCCGGGCUUAACCUGGGAACCGCGUUUGAAACUGGGAGACUUGAGUGUGGCAGAGGGGGGUGGAAUUCCACGUGUAGCAGUGAAAUGCGUAGAUAUGUGGAGGAACACCGAUGGCGAAGGCAGCCCCCUGGGUUAACACUGACGCUCAUGCACGAAAGCGUGGGGAGCAAACAGG